rnacentral:piRNA from 1 species
UCUAAAGAUGGCUGCCAUGAACAAUAAG